CAGCGCUUAGAGAGGACACAAGCGUUGAAGAUGGUAGCCAGCCGCUUCCGGAGCACUGAGGACCAGGAGAGGAGAAUUGGCAGUUCUUUGAAGGAGGGCACUGGCAGCGUAGGUCACGAGGAGGGCUGAGAGCUUGCCGAGGCGAAGGGAAUUCUUGAAAACAUCUGGAGAAGAGACUCACCUGGCCACAGCGCCCCUGAGGGAUGAAGUACAAAGAAGGGAAAAGAGAAGAGAGAUGCGUCAGCAAGAACACGGAGGACAGAAGGAGGGGCUGACAGGCCUGAGUGGGCAAGUUGGAUACCACUUACCUCACCUGGCGU